rnacentral:rRNA from 1 species
UUGACAUGGCUGGAAUCCUUGAGAGAUUGAGGAGUGCUCGAAAGAGAACCAGUACACAGGUGCUGCAUGGCUGUCGUCAGCUCGUGUCGUGAGAUGUUGGUUAAGUCCCGCAACGAGCGCAACCCUUGUCAUUAGUUGCUACGAAAGGGCACUCUAAUGAGACUGCCGGUGACAAACCGGAGGAAGGUGGGGAUGACGUCAAGUCCUCAUGGCCCUUAUGGGUAGGGCUUCACACGUCAUACAAUGGUACAUACAGAGGGCCGCCAACCCGCGAGGGGAGCUAAUCCCAGAAAGUGUAUCGUAGUCCGGAUUGUAGUCUGCAACUCGACUGCAUGAAGUUGGAAUCGCUAGUAAUCGCGGAUCAGCAUGUCGCGGUGAAUACGUUCCCGGGUCUU